GACGAACGCUGGCGGCGUGCUUAACACAUGCAAGUCGAACGAAGUGGGAACGGGUGAGUAAUACGUGAGUAACCUCCCUCCUUUUUGGGAUAAGCCUUGGAAACGGGGUCUAAACCGGAUAGAUGGGCUCGCGGCCUAUCAGCUUGUUGGUGGGGUGAUGGCCUACCAGGGAGGUGACGGGUAGCCGGCCUGAGAGGGUGACCGGCCGCAGUGGGACUGGGAUACGGCCCAGAGUCAUACGGGAGGCAGCAAUAGGGAAUCUUCGGGAAUGGGCGGAAGUCUGACCGAGCAACGCCGAGGGAGUGAAGAAGAUUUUCGGGUCGUAAAGCUCUGUUGUUAGAGAAGCGGUAACUAACCAGAAAGGGACGGCUAACUACGGGCCAGCAGCCGCGGUAAUUC
rnacentral:rRNA from 1 species